rnacentral:tRNA from 1 species
GAGGGGAUAGCUCAAGUGGUAGAGUGCAUGCAUAGCAUGCAUGAGGUCCUGGGUUCGAUCCCCAGUACCUCCU